UCUAACAAUCCAAUCCCAGUAUCAGGUUUAGGGAGUAGUACGAAUUCUCAAACAACCAAAAGAACAACAACAACUACUAAUAAGAAGCUUAAAAAAGAAACCCCACCUUCAGUUGGAGCACCUGUCAAGGUGAAGAAAGAAAAAAUCGGAGAAAGAAUUGCAGCAUUGCAACAACUAGUCUCACCAUUUGGAAAGUAAAAGAUAAUACGAGGAAUCUGAGUUUGCAAAG